rnacentral:lncRNA from 1 species
AAUGAUCCACUGAUAUUUCUUCCAGGUUUUGGAGGUUUGGAAGCAACCAAUGUGGAAGCAACGUCUUCAUACUUGAGCAGAAGUGUAUCGUAAUUUCCUUAAGAUGGGAAAAGGUGGCAGACGGAGCCAAUGUUGAUGCUGUUGCUGAACCAAUUCCAUCAUCUAUCAUAAUAAGUGCACUCAACUUUGGCAAAUCAUGAAGAUACAACACCUCGAGGCUCUGAAACGGGUGAGCGGAAGAAGAGGCAAAAGAGGACAAGGAAACAACACACUCUAUCCUGAUGAAGUUGGUUCAGCAUGCAGCAAACUCGACAGCAUGCAGGCCAUCAAGACCAAGUCAUGCAGGAGCUGCUGGAACGAGCUGAACUAUUCCUAUUUUGUUCAACUUGUAAUCUUAAGUUAAUGUAAUGUACUUUAGUUCAUUUAGAACUAUGUUAGGUUUAUGAUUGAUGUAUUUUGAUGACAAUUAAGCUGUUAAGUCAGCUUUGUUUAAGUGUGCAAGCUUAGUUUUUCAAGUUUCAAUGUAUUAGUGGUGGUAGGUGAUGAUUAGGUAUCAUUAUGCAGAUUUUGACAAGCAAAUUGCUUGGUUUAUGUAUUGGCAUUUUGCCAUUGUUCAAUGUAUGAAUAGAAUCAGUUUUUGUUCAUCAAUUUCCUCUCCAUUUUCUUAGCUUUUUCUUUCUUUCUUUAACUCGAAAUUGUUUGUUUGCUCAGCAAGUUUUAAGGCUUGCUCGACAAGAUACUUGCUGAGUCUGCUUGAUUCUGUUCUUGCACCAACAAUUGGUAUCUAGAGCCUAUUUCUUAAGGGAUCUGUUACUCAAUUCCAUGGCUUCAUCAAGCUUUUCACCAGCUGCACCUCAAGUCUUCAAUGGAGAAGGCUAUCACAUAUGGGUGGUCAAAAUGAAGACCUACCUGCAGGCUUUCGAUCUGUGGGAGGUGGUCAACUUUGAUGUUGAACCAGAGCCACUUAGAGCUAAUCCAACAGUGGCUCAGAUCAGGCAGCAUGCUGAUGAAAGGACCAAGAGGCACAAAGCUAUGUCUUGCAUCCAAAACUCAGUGUCUGAUGUGAUUUUCACAAGGAUUAUGGCCUGUGAAUCACCAAAACAGGCCUGGGAUAAGUUGCAGGAAGAGUUUCAAGGGACUGAGAGGACAAGGCAGCAACAGUUGUUAAAUUUGAGGAGAGAUUUCGAGAAUUUGAAGAUGAAGGAAGAAGAAACUGUCAAGCAAUAUUCUGACAGGAUUAUGGCUGUGGUUAACAGCAUCAGGCUCCUUGGAGAGCAGUUCAAUGAAGCUAGGAUAGUGGAGAAGGUUAUAGCAACUCUGCCUGAGAGGUAUGAGGCAAAAAUCUCAUCUCUCGAGGACUCAAGGGAUCUGUCCACCAUCUCCCUGACAGAGUUGAUCAAUGCUCUAUAUGCUCAAGAGCAGAGGAGAGCAAGCAGACUGGAGGAGCACCAAGAAGGUGCCUUUCAAGCAAGAACAAAUACUGCCUACAAAGGCAAGAAGGCCUGGAGAGACAAGCCAAAGAAUGAUGCUGCAAGGAGAGAAGGUCAGACUUGCAAGCACUGUAGAAAGGCUGGUCAUUCAGAAGAAAAAUGCUGGUUCAAUCCAGAUGUUGUAUGUCAGCAUUGUAAGAAGAAGGGUCAUGUUGAGAGAGUCUGCAAGAGUAAGACCAAAUCGAGGCAGAAUCAGUUUCAACAGAUGAAAGCUGAGGCUCGAGUAGCAAAGGAGGACAGUGACCAAGAGGAGCAAGUCUUUGCUGUGUCAUGCUCGGCUGCUCAGGAAAGGUCCUCAUCUGGUUGGCUCCUAGACAGUGGAUGCACCAACCACAUGACACCUGAUGCUGCAAUCUUCAAGUCUUUAGACAGAAGCUGCAGAACUAAAGUCAAGAUAGGAAAUGGUCAUUUUAUCCAAGCUGAAGGCAAGGGUGAUGUGCUGAUAUGCACACUUACAGGUACCAAAGUGAUUUCAAAUGUGCUGUUGGUGCCUGAAAUUGACAGAAACCUGCUCAGCAUAGCUCAGUUGCUGGAAAAAGGUUAUUCAGUUGUGUUUAAAGACCACCAGUGCCAAAUCAGUGAUCCAAGUGGAUCCAAACUGAUGGCAGUCCCUAUGGCUGAUAAGAGCUUUGUGGUUGACUGGACAAAAAAGUCAGACAUUGCCUACACAGCCACUUCAGAUGAAUCCAAGCUGUGGCAUCAAAGAUUGGGACAUGCCAACUUCAGAUCGAUGGCUCGAAUGGUCAGAGAGGACCUGGCUGAAAAUUUCAUCAACUCAGUUGACCAUGAUGAUGUAUGUGAUGUAUGUCAGCUAGGAAAGCAGGCCAGACUCCCAUUUCCCUCGAAUCAAGCCUGGAGAGCCUCUGAAAAACUCCAACUGGUGCAUACUGAUGUGUGUGGCCCUAUGAAGACUGAGUCAUUAAGUGGAAACAGGUCUUUCAUACUGUUUAUUGAUGAUUUCUCGAGAUAUUGCUGGAUUUACUUUUUAAAACAGAAAUCUGAAGUGGCCUCAGUGUUUUGGAAGUUCAAGACUGCUUCUGAGACUGAAACAGGCUGCAAGCUGAAGACCAUAAGGUCUGAUAAUGGGACUGAGUACACCUCAGCUCAGUUCCAAGCCUUCUGUGAUAAGGCAGGCAUCAAACAUCAACUUACCAACACAUAUACACCUCAGCAGAAUGGGGUAAGUGAAAGGAAGAAUAGGAGUUUGAUGGAUAUGGCCAGGUGCUUGAUGAUUCAGAAAAAUCUGCCUAAAGCACUAUGGGCAGAAGCAGUUAACACUGCAACAUACAUUCAAAAUAGACUUCCAACCAAGGCUUUGGAUCAAAAGACCCCAUUCGAGGCCUGGUUUAGUUUCAAGCCAUCAUUGGCUCAUCUGAAGGUCUUUGGAUGCAUCUGUUAUGCACAUGUACCUGCUGUUAAAAGGGACAAAUUGUCUGAAAGGGCUCGACCUGGUGUUUUGGUGGGGUAUAGCACUGUUAAGAAGGGCUAUAGGAUUUUAGAUCCUUCAACAAACAAAGUAUCAAUAAGCAGGGAUGUGGUAUUUGAUGAGAGGUCAUGUUGGAACUGGGAAAGACAUGAACCUGAAGAAGUUUCUGAAGAACUUGCAGUAGACCAAGCUGAGCCAGAUCAAAAUGUCCCUGAAAUGGAUAUUGAUGAUGAACCAGUCAGAGGAACAAGGUCAUUGGCUGAGGUUUAUGAAAGGGCUCAUGUAGCCAUAGCUGAACCAAGCAACUUUGAAGAGGCUGAGGCUCAACAAGGGUGGAAGCAGGCAAUGGCUGAGGAGAUCAGCAUGAUUGAGAAGAACCAGACCUGGGAAUUGGUUGAAAGGCCAGUCAAAAGGAAGGUGAUUGGGGUGAAAUGGGUGUACAAAGCCAAGCAGAAUGCUGAUGGUACCUUGAACAAGUUAAAAGCAAGGCUAGUGGUCAAGGGGUUCAGUCAGAGGUAUGGCUUGGACUACUUGGAGACCUUUGCACCAGUGGCCAGGCUCGACACCAUCAGACUGCUGAUUGCCUUAGCAGCACAGCUCGAAUGGAAGAUUCAUCAACUUGAUGUGAAAUCAGCCUUUCUGAAUGGUUUCUUAGAUGAAGACAUCUAUGUUGAACAACCACAAGGGUUUGAAAUAGCUGGCAGAGAGCAUAUGGUCUACAAAUUGAAGAAGGCCCUAUAUGGCUUAAAACAGGCUCCAAGGGCCUGGUACAGCAGAAUCGAUGGCUACCUGACUGAUCUGGGAUUCAAUCGAAGCAAGAGUGAGCCAACACUGUAUGUCAAGAAGCAAGGGACACAAACACAACUCAUUGUGUCCCUAUAUGUUGAUGACCUGCUGGUGACAGGAGGAGAUCAAGCAGUGCUGGUUAAUUUCAAGACCAAGAUGCAAGAGGUGUUUGAAAUGUCUGAUCUUGGGGAGAUGUCCUAUUUUCUUGGAAUGGAGGUGACUCAAGCACAGAAUGGGAUAUUUUUAAGUCAGAAGAGCUUUGCCACAAAGAUUCUGACCAAGUUCUCCAUGCAAAACAGCAAACCAACUAAAACACCUGUAGCUGUUGGAGAAAAACUAUCGAGCCAAGGAGAUUUUGAGAAGGUAUGUGAAACUACCUACAGGAGUCUAGUUGGUUGUUUGCUAUACUUGACUGGCACUAGACCAGACAUAAUGUAUGCUGUAGGAUUGCUCUCAAGGUUCUUGCAUUGUUGCAAUGAGAAGCAUUUCCAGGCUGCCAAGAGAGUGCUCAGAUAUGUCAAAGGCACUUUGGACUAUGGCUUAAGGUACAGCAGAAAAGGAAAUCUAAAUCUAGUUGGGUACACUGAUAGUGACUGGGCUGGAUCGUUAGAUGACAUGAAAAGCACCUCAGGGUAUGCUUUUAGACUUGGUUCAGCCAUGUUCUGCUGGAGCUCGAAGAAGCAAAGUCUGGUGGCACAAUCUACGGCUGAAGCAGAGUAUGUGGCAGCAGCAAGUGCUGUCAACCAAGCCAUUUGGCUUAGGAAAAUCCUGGCUGAUUUGAAUAUGGAUCAAAUGGAAGCAACAGAGAUCUUCUGUGACAAUCAAUCUGCAGUUGCAAUUGCUAAAAAUCCAGUGUUCCAUGGUAGAACAAAACAUUUCAGCAUCAAGUUACAUGUUGUUCGAGAAAUGGAGCAAGCUCAGGAAGUAAAGCUGAUCCACUGUAAUUCAGAGGAUCAACUUGCUGACAUUUUAACCAAAGCUCUUAGUGUCACAAGGUUUGAAUAUCUAAGAAAGAUGCUAGGUGUUUGCUCCAUGCAAACCAAGGAGGAGUGAUGAAGUUGGUUCAGCAUGCAGCAAACUCGACAGCAUGCAGGCCAUCAAGACCAAGUCAUGCAGGAGCUGCUGGAACGAGCUGAACUAUUCCUAUUUUGUUCAACUUGUAAUCUUAAGUUAAUGUAAUGUACUUUAGUUCAUUUAGAACUAUGUUAGGUUUAUGAUUGAUGUAUUUUGAUGACAAUUAAGCUGUUAAGUCAGCUUUGUUUAAGUGUGCAAGCUUAGUUUUUCAAGUUUCAAUGUAUUAGUGGUGGUAGGUGAUGAUUAGGUAUCAUUAUGCAGAUUUUGACAAGCAAAUUGCUUGGUUUAUGUAUUGGCAUUUUGCCAUUGUUCAAUGUAUGAAUAGAAUCAGUUUUUGUUCAUCAAUUUCCUCUCCAUUUUCUUAGCUUUUUCUUUCUUUCUUUAACUCGAAAUUGUUUGUUUGCUCAGCAAGUUUUAAGGCUUGCUCGACAAGAUACUUGCUGAGUCUGCUUGAUUCUGUUCUUG